rnacentral:tRNA from 10 species
AGCCCCGUGGUGUAGAGGUCUAGCAUUUCGGGCUUUGGACCCGGAGACAAAGGUUCGAAUCCUUUCGGGGCUA